rnacentral:rRNA from 1 species
GACGAACGCUGGCGGCGUGCUUAACACAUGCAAGUCGAGCGGUAAGGCCCUUUCGGGGGUACACGAGCGGCGAACGGGUGAGUAACACGUGGGUGACCUGCCCUUAGCUCUGGGAUAAGCCUGGGAAACUGGGUCUAAUACCGGAUAUGACUCCAUGACGCAUGUUGUGGGGUGGAAAGCCUUGUGCGGCUAGGGAUGGGCCCGCGGCCUAUCAGCUUGUUGGUGGGGUGAUGGCCUACCAAGGCGACGACGGGUAGCCGGCCUGAGAGGGCGACCGGCCACACUGGGACUGAGACACGGCCCAGACUCCUACGGGAGGCAGCAGUGGGGAAUCUUGCGCAAUGGGCGAAAGCCUGACGCAGCGACGCCGCGCGAGGGAUGACGGCCUCGG